rnacentral:rRNA from 1 species
UACGGAGGGUGCAAGCGUUAUCCGGAAUCACUGGGUUUAAAGGGUGCGUAGGCGGUAAAAUAAGUCAGUGGUGAAAGGCCGUAGCUUAACUAUGGGAUUGCCAUUGAUACUGUUAUACUUGAAUCAGGUUGAGGUUGGCGGAAUGUGGCAUGUAGCGGUGAAAUGCUUAGAUAUGCCAUGGAACAUCGAUUGCGAAGGCAGCUGACUGGACCUUGAUUGACGCUGAGGCACGAAAGCGUGGGGAGCGAACAGG